AGGACUGCUGGCUGAAGGUGCAAAACCAACUUCCCCCGUUGCCCCAAGUACACCGGCAGCACAUAGUCUCGCUCUUCGAUGACAUCUGUCAACUCCGGGUUCCGUCCAGGCGGAGAAACGCCGACUGGAGGACUUUUGUGAUCAUCACCGGCUGAGGUGGAGAUCCUCGGACGACGAGAGAGCUGAGCCUGCGUCCGGCCAGGGAGGAUCUGCGGAUGCCACGGAUCGCCUCGGGACGCAUGACUCCAUUUGAAUCGCUCUCGUUUUGUCAAUAAAAGUGCAUCAGCGAUUGCCCGAGUC